GCAGUGGUGGUUCGGUGCUAGAAUUCUUGUCUUUCAUGUGGGAGACCCAGGUUCAAUUCCCAGCCAGUGCA
rnacentral:tRNA from 1 species